CCUACGGGAGGCAGCAGUGAGGAAUAUUGGUCAAUGGGCGCGAGCCUGAACCAGCCAAGUAGCGUGAAGGAUGACUGCCCUACGGGUUGUAAACUUCUUUUAUAAAGGAAUAAAGUGAGGCACGUGUGCCUUUUUGUAUGUACUUUAUGAAUAAGGAUAGGCUAACUACGUGCCAGCAGCCGCGGUAAUACGGAGGAUCCGAGCGUUAUCCGGAUUUAUUGGGUUUAAAGGGAGCGUAGAUGGGUUGUUAAGUCAGUUGUGAACGUUUGCGGCUAAACCGUAAAAUUGCAAUUGAUACUGGCAGUCUUGAGUGCAGUAGAGGUAGGCGGAAUUCGUGGUGUAGCGAUGAAAUGCGUAGAUAUCACGAGGAACUCUGAUUGCGAAGGCAGCUUACUAAACUGCCACUGACAUUGAUGCUCGAAAGUGUGGGUAUCAAACAGGAUUAGAUACCCUUGUAGUC
rnacentral:rRNA from 1 species